rnacentral:misc_RNA from 1 species
UACGAAGGGGGCGAGCGUUGUUCGGAUUUACUGGGCGUAAAGGGCGCGUAGGCGGCGAGCCGAGUCGAAUGUGAAAGCCCCGGGCUCAACCUGGGAGGUGCGUUCGAUACUGGUUUGCUGGAGUUCGGGAGAGGAGCGUGGAAUUCCCAGUGUAGAGGUGAAAUUCGUAGAUAUUGGGAAGAACACCGGUGGCGAAGGCGGCGCUCUGGACCGAGACUGACGCUGAGGAGCGAAAGCGUGGGGAGCGAACAGG